UGAUCGGAUCAUAUUUAUAUAUAUUUUUACUUCAAAUUCACUCGUCUUUUCUUAGUUAGUUUCUUAUAUUUUUGAGCUAUUUACGUUAUUUUUGUGUUUAUAGGAUUUGUUUAUGCAAAGAAAAUAAAAAUAGAACAAGUGAAGUUUUAUGUAAUAAAUUCGUCAAAACUGUCUGUGUAGAUCAGCUUUUAAAUUAAAUAAAAAAAAGAGAUAAUGAUGAGUCAUGAUGUUUGAAACAUCAUCAUGAUUCAUGUUGUGAAGGGAGAAGAAAAUGCACGGCAAGACUAAUGGAAAGAAAAGAAAGAAUUUGAUGGGAAGACAUGGACUAGUGGAAGAAUAAAAGAAAUAAAAGAAAUGACAAAGGGAUAGACACGGGAAUAAGAGGCGAGAGAGCAGUGAGGGAAGAAGAGAGGUCAGAGAGAGAAGCAGCAAAGCUGCCUUUGGCAGCUGGAAAGAAGGCGGAAAGGAAGGAGUCCAGGUGGCGCAAAGAAUAGCAAAGGGAGACAGACGCAAGCAAGGGGAGUCCGCGAGGAGAGGCUGCCUUGGCAGCAGAAGAAAAGUCAGAGAAGAGAGGAGUGAGAGGCAGCGGGAGGGAGAUGAGAAGCACAGCAGAAGAAGCAUCAGAGCACAGAGAGCAGAAGGCUUCAAUCUAUUUUCUCGGUUAACUCUUUCCAAACUUCUAUUUUAUUUUUGUUUUAAUAAUGUGUAAUUAAAUUUAUUUUGGCUAGAGGUUAAUUCGAACCAUGAAUAUAUUUGUAAUAUGAAUUGAUUACCUUCAGUUGUGAUUUCAUAAGUUGUGAUUUCAAUUUACUUAUCCGUUCGUAUAAAAACUGAUUUGUGUAUGUUGGUUGAGAGUGCACGCUUAAUUUACAUGCAUGAAUUUGAUGCUAGAAUAUAAGUGAAUUUCACCUAAUCGUUAUGAACUUAUUUUCACAAGUAGUAAAGGUUGCUAGUCACAAUCACGUUAAGUAAAUUCUUGGCAAGAGUAUCAUGCUUUUCAUAGUUACGAAUGCCUCGUCAAUGCUUAUAGUUUUCACAAAGUUUAAUGAUCUUUGAUUGUAUCGCUAUUGUGCUUUUCACGUAGGGGACUUUUGAAGAAUGUUUUGAAUUGUUGUAUGCGUUUUCCCGUCCAAUUCAAUAACUUAAGGAAAACUUGAAGAUUAAAAAAGUGUUAUUCACGGUUAAUCUGGAGUAUUGAGAUUCAAAAUUUAUUAAAUGAACAACUGGAAAUCAUUUUGUAUGCAAAUAUAACAUGUGUGGAGAAGAACCCUCUAGCUAGUCCGUCAUUUAUCAUUUUACCUUAAUUUUAUGUUUUUGUCAAUUCUGUAAUUUAAUUAAGUUUAAUUUACUUUUCAUCAAAACCAAACACCCAUCCAUUAUUAAAUUAUAUUAUUUAUUUAGUUUUCUUUAUUGUUAGUCUUUUAAUUUAAUUUCCAUCCAUUGCAGUUCCUAGUGUCUAAUUUGAUUGUUUUCAUUAUUUUGAGUUAUCCUAAGUGUGUUUCGAGUUAUUAGAGUUUUUAGCCUAGUUUUGUGUCCUUGAGUCUUAUUUAAUAUUUUUAAAUUAAUUUAGAAUAGAUUAGCAAUCCCUCCUAAUCCCCGGCCUAGAACGAUACCCUACUUACAUCUAUACUACAAUUGUCAAAAAGAGGGUUUAAUUUGUGUGCUUAUAUAUUUCGCAUCAAAUUUUGGCGCCGUUGCCGGGGAUUAGUAACUUUGCUAAUCCUUUUAUUUUUGUUUUUGUUUAUGUUUAUAUUGGUGUUUGUGUAUUUUACUUUUGAUAUUUGAUUUAUUUUUCUUUCUUUGAUUUUAGGUUCAAAUGGAGCCGAGGGAAAUUUAAAGGAAAGAUGCGUCCGGCUAAAGACGUUAAAUCAAGCGCUUCUUGGGAGGCAACCCAAGCAUUCAACGAAGGGAGACUUUGGAAUCACUAACCCAAUCAGCUUUGCAUUCUUCCACCCUUAUCUUUACUGUUUUCAUUUUGUUUUGUUUAGUUAGUUGUGUUAUUUGGUUGAUUUCUGUGAGUUUGUGUUAUUUAGUUUAAGUGUGGGGGAAGGUUAACCAAAGUCUCUUUACAUUAAUUUACAUAUAAAAAAAAAAAAAAAGGGAUAAAAUUUAAAAUUAAUGAAAAAAAAAAAAAAAAAAAAAAAAAAAAAAAAUUAAAAAAAAAAAAAAAAAUUAAAUUAUUAAAAAAAAAAAAAAAAAAUACAUAAAAAAAAAAAUUUACAUAAAAAAAAAUGCAAAUAUUUUACAAUAAUGUAAACUAAUAGUAUUCAUUGGUCGGGUGGUGCUUCAGUAGUAGGCGGGGCCACAGAAGGAGGAGGCGGCAGAGGUUGAUCAGUUGGAGCUUCACUACGCGGUGCCGCUCCAGAAGACGAAGGCAGAUGCGGUUGGAACAAACCCACAAACCUCCGAUGAUCAAGUAAAAUUUGACCAUCGGUGUCCUGCAUCUGGUCAAUCUUCCUCUUCAUGCUGGUGGCAUAGCUGUGUGCGAGCUUGUGCAAUUCCUUAUUCUCAUGCUUGAGCCCUUUAAUCUCUUGCUUGAGACUCUGUAUUUCAGCCACCAAGGAUUCAACGUGACGGGUUCGGGCAUAUAGGCGUUGGGCCAUGUUGGAUACGGAACCCGCACACUGCACACUGAGAGCCAGAGACUCCUUGACCGCCAAUUCAUCAGACCGCCUUGCGAGCAGUCUGUUAUCUCUGGGAGUGACAAGGUUUCGGGCCACCACCGCAGCGGUCAUGUCAUUUUUCAUCAUCGAAUCCCCCACGGUAAGGGGACCGGUAGGGGAUAUGAAGGAUGGCCGCCAUAUGUUGUCUGGUGAAGGCGGAGCUGCCUCUUCACCAAUGUUCAAGUCAAAACGACGAUCAGAAGGGCCAGACAUUUUUCAGAGGUGGUAAAGAAAGAAGAGAGUUGGACUGAUCAAGAUUAAACAAGUGCAAGAAGGGAGUGUUUACAGGAGGGAGCUCAAGUGUGUUGUGGAACAAGCUUAACGUCUCUAUAAAAAGGAAGAAAUCAAAGAGGCGCUCCUCAGAGAAGCGUCCUCUCGCAAAUCGAAGAGUCGGGGCUCCGUUCUCAAACGUCUGAUUCUUUUCUCAAAAGAGGAGUUUCCGUUCUCAAAAGCCGGAUUCUUUUCUCAAAAGAGGCGUUCAUUUCUUAAAAGUUGGGCUUGCUCAGAAACCACGAGCCGAACCCCGGAUUUCGCAAGAUCAAUUCGUCCAAACGUGUUGUCACCCGUCACACGCAAACUUAGCUCUGCGAAAAUCACGGGCAGUCUGUCGAAGUGCCGAUUCCAACCAUCUGUCUCUCUCAGCCUAGUCAGCACUUGUCACAUGCAACUGGCAGCUUUGCGGAAAUUACGGGCAGCUUUGUCAGAAAGCGCGUAAUUUGUAUUCUUCACCCAUCCACCGGCUGCCGACACUAAGUGAGGGAACAGUUCCGGUUGUGAAGACAAGUCCUAUAAGUUUCUACCUUCGCCUUCCACAGCAAAAGCACACUCUCUCAGCACACCCUCUCAACACCUCUUCAUCUCCGAAAAUGCAUUCCCAAAGAAUCCUCUCAAGUCACUCUGUGUUCCUCAUUCCUUGGGAUACUCCUGCGAACAACCCAUUCAAAGCAAAAGUAUUUCAUAUCAUAAAGGUUGAAAGCAAGAGUAUCUCAUAUCAUGCUUUCUCCCUGUCCUUUCUCCAGCCAGCCCUUGCUCUCGAGUACUCAUCAUCUUAUGCUUUCUCUUUGUUUCUCACUUAUAAGGGAAGUGAAGAUGAUACCUCGAAGCAUGUGGAGACAACGUGCUGAUUCAUCCUCAACUAAGGACAAGGAGAAAGAGAGCAAGAGGUGGGCACUUGGAAAGAUUGAAGAAAGAAACAGACCAACACCUCUCCCUCGUGCCUGCCCGCCAUGCAGAGGAAACAAGCAGAGAAGAAUGCAGCUUGCACAAUCAUCCCAGCGGAAGGAGUCCGAACUGAGGAACUAGAGAAGCUGCCACAUCUGCUUGGAGAACAAAUAAGGAACUGCAACAUAACCAAAGAGCAAAGCUCCGCCGUACAAUAUCAUCAAAUAGUAAAAAGCUAAGUGUCACCAUGUUCAAGAGGAAAGCUGUGGAAAGUCAACAAGCACGACCAAUGAUUACUUAUUAGUUUUAUUCAUUAUCCUUUAUCGUAAUUUUCAAUUUUUCGUUUGCAAUUUUUUUUUUUUAAUUAAUUUUCUUGCGUACUUAACUGAAUUAUUUCUUUUCUUUGCAGGAACUUUUGGUUAUUUCCACCCUUGAAGUUGAUUGCAGAAUUUUAGCUUGGGGGUCAUCGCUUGAUUUUACUGCAAAUUAGGGAAGUUUUCAGUCCAAUUGCGUUAUUUUGUUUUUUCUUAUUAUUUAUUUAUUUUAUUUUAUAUUUUUAUUUGCAUUAUAGUGUUUUCUGACAUUGGGGACAAUGUCCAGUUUAAGUGUGGGGGUAAAGGGUAAAAAUGACCAAAUUGAAAUUUUUUGUACCUUCAACUUCGAACUGGUUUCAUUUGUUUCUGUGUUGUUGCUUUUUAUUUUUUUAGUUUUGUUUUCUCUAUAAAAAAAAAAUCGGAAAAUUUUAAAAAUCCAAAAAAAUUGUCUUGUUCCCCUUAUUGUUUUGAAUUAGAUUUUUGUUAGUUUCCCGACCCAAUGAUAUAAUUGGAUCAAAUUUGAACCAUGAUCAUCAAGAACUUAGUUAACAUGUGUUUUGUGAAAUUCCUAAUUCUCUUGUUAGUUUUGUACAUGUUUGAUCAUCUUUGAAAAACCAAAUGCACAUAGCCUUGUUAAUGUGAAACUAAAGUAUGACUUAAAGCUUCAUAUGUGAAUUUAGUGACCAUAUACAUCCUAUGUGAGUUUUUGAGCCUAUUGAAAGUGUGCAUUUUUCAUACACUCCUAUUCUUUCAUGUGUGAUGAACUUAUGUGAGAUACAUCUCUAGAACUUGCGUAACGAUCUUUCGAAAUGUUUGUCAUUGAUUGCAUGAACUUGGAAAUGAUAGAGGCAUUAGGUUUACCACUAUGGCCCAAAUAACUAUGUUUCCCAAAGAAAAAUGAUAUCAUUAGAUUGCCAAUUUGAGCCGUGUAUGUUGAGCCUUUUAUUUCUUAUUUCCAGAUAUGUCUACCCUUAUACCUGAAACAUUUUUUUUCCUUACCCUUUCCUAAGCAAGCUAGUGAGCAAUGUGAGAUUGUCUUAUGAGAAAUGUUGUAAAGUACUUUGAAGGUGUUUGGCAAAAAAAAUAAGUGUGGGGGUAUUUCAUGUUUGUAUAAAAAAUAAAAAAAUAAAAAAAAAUAAAAAAAAAAAAAAAAAGAGAAAAGAAAAAGAAAAAUUGUAUACGAAGAAAAAAAUAAAAAAAAAAAAAUUGUUUUUCAAGUUUCAGUUUAAGGGUGUGAUUGGAGGUUUCUGAAGAAUCGUUGGAGAGCUUGAGUUCUUAUAAAUCUAGACAAAAGAAUUGCUUGCAAUGUAGCUUGGAACUUGUGUUUUCCUAUUCUUUCAUUUCAAUAACCCUAUCCCUAAGCCUCAUUACAUCCAAUAAAAGUCCUCUUGAUUUAAGUUUUGCAAUUAUGACUGUGGAGAAGUGAUCUUUAUGCAAGCUUAUGGUAGAAAUUUCACAUUUGAUUCUUUGAGCGAAACACAUUAAAACUAAACACAUGUGUGAUUGAGUGCAUAUCCCGUGAGAAUGUCGCUAGUUUGCAUAUGAUGAUUUUAAAAAUAUAAAAAUUUUGAAAUUGCAUUAGCAUGGCUAUCUCACACACUACACUUCAAGGAUGAUUCAAAGAUUACUGCUAAUAUUUGAAUAAGGAAAAUGAACUUGGAUUAGUUUGUUUGGUGCUAGCUAUGGUUCUUGAUGAUUUGUUUUCUUGAAUGAAAUUCUAUGAGGGUCACAUAGAGGGAAGCUAAUGUUUUUCAUGUUAGUACUUUUUCAUGUUUUCUUUGUUUUGCUCGAGGACUAGCAAAAGCUAAGUAUGGGGGUAUUUGAUCGGAUCAUAUUUAUAUAUAUUUUUACUUCAAAUUCACUCGUCUUUUCUUAGUUAGUUUCUUAUAUUUUUGAGCUAUUUACGUUAUUUUUGUGUUUAUAGGAUUUGUUUAUGCAAAGAAAAUAAAAUAGAACAAGUGAAGUUUUAUGUAAUAAAUUCGUCAAAACUGUCUGUGUAGAUCAGCUUUUAAAUUAAAUAAAAAAAAGAGAUAAUGAUGAGUCAUGAUGAUGUUUGAAACAUCAUCAUGAUUCAUGUUGUGAAGGGAGAAGAAAAUGCACGACAAGACUAAUGGAAAGAAAAGAAAGAAUUUGAUGGGAAGACAUGGACUAGUGGAAGAAUAAAAGAAAUAAAAGAAAUGACAAAGGGAUAGACACGGGAAUAAGAGGCGAGAGAGCAGUGAGGGAAGAAGAGAGGUCAGAGAGAGAAGCAGCAAAGCUGCCUUUGGCAGCUGGAAAGAAGGCGGAAAGGAAGGAGUCCAGGUGGCGCAAAGAAUAGCAAAGGGAGACAGACGCAAGCAAGGGGAGUCCGCGAGGAGAGGCUGCCUUGGCAGCAGAAAGAAAAGUCAGAGAAGAGAGGAGUGAGAGGCAGCGGGAGGGAGAUGAGAAGCACAGCAGAAGAAGCAUCAGAGCACAGAGAGCAGAAGGCUUCAAAUCUAUUUUCUCG
rnacentral:lncRNA from 1 species